AUUGAACGCUGGCGGCAUGCCUUACACAUGCAAGUCGAACGGUAACAGGUUAAGCUGACGAGUGGCGAACGGGUGAGUAAUGUAUCGGAACGUGCCCAGUCGUGGGGGAUAACUACUCGAAAGAGUGGCUAAUACCGCAUACGACCUGAGGGUGAAAGCGGGGGACCGUAAGGCCUCGCGCGAUUGGAGCGGCCGAUAUCAGAUUAGCUAGUUGGUGGGGCAAAAGCCCACCAAGGCGACGAUCUGUAGCUGGUCUGAGAGGACGACCAGCCACACUGGGACUGAGACACGGCCCAGACUCCUACGGGAGGCAGCAGUGGGGAAUUUUGGACAAUGGACGCAAGUCUGAUCCAGCCAUGCCGCGUGCGGGGAGAAGGCCUUCGGGUUGUAAACCGCUUUUGUCAGGGAAGAAACGAGUUUCUCUAAUACAGAGACUUAAUGACGGUACCUGAAGAAUAAGCACCGGCUAACUACGUGCCAGCAGCCGCAGUAAGAC
rnacentral:rRNA from 1 species